GACGAACGCUGGCGGCGUGCUUAACACAUGCAAGUCGAACGAAGUGGCGAACGGGUGAGUAACGCGUACUCAACCUGCCCUUACGAGGGGGACAACAGUUGGAAACGACUGCUAUUACCGCAUAAUGAAGGCGGGGGUUGCGUUUGAUUAGCUAGUUGGAGGGGUAACGGCCAAACAAGGCAAUGUUCAGUAGCCGGUCUGAGAGGAUGAACGGCCACAUUGGGACUGAGACACGGCCCAGACUCCUACGGGAGGCAGCAGUGGGGAAUCUUCCGCAAUGGAGGAAAGUCUGACGGAGCAACGCCGCGUGAGUGAUGACGGCCUUCGGGUUGUAAAGCUCUGUUAUUCGGGACGCGGUACCGGAAUAGAAAGCCACGGCUAACUACGUGCCAGCAGCCGCGGUAAUUC
rnacentral:rRNA from 1 species